rnacentral:lncRNA from 1 species
CGAUCAAGCCCCACCCACCUCUUCUCCUUCCCACUGUUGUGGCCGCUUCUUUCCUACCUCCUCCUUCUCGAUCUUCGAUCAUCGAGCUGCGAAAAGGGAAAGAGAUUGGGGAAGUGAGCAGUGGAGAGACGAGCAAUGAUGGUGGGGAGGUGAUCGGUGGAGAGAUGGAUAGAGAAGGAGGAGAAAAGAAGCGGGGGAGACAUGGUGGCAUCAGGCAGUCAGCGACGGCAAUGUCGUGGGGG